rnacentral:sRNA from 1 species
CUGCCUAUGUGCGGUCGGCACCCUCCCGAGUGCAGGCACUGCACACAGCCUACCAUGUGCUGCGCCAGAUGGAGAGCGGCAAGGUGGUGCUCCCUGAUGAGGUGUGUUACCGGGUACUGAUGCAGCUCUGCUCACACUAUGGGCAGCCUGUGCUGUCUGUGCGGGUCAUGCUGGAGAUGCGUCAGGCAGGCAUUGUGCCCAACACCAUCACCUAUGGCUACUACAAUAAGGUACCUACUUUGGGGUGAGGGGUGGGAUGGCAGCUGUGCCAGGGUGUGUGAGGGGAGGCUGCUGCUGCUCCCCUCGCUCCUUGGAGAUUGGGCUGGUACUGUUUGCCUAGGUCCUGGAACCACUGUCAUCCACAUUGCACUCCUGUGGUGCCUUAGCACCUACAGUUUCUCAGACGAGGCUGCUUUGAUUCCCACUCAUGACAGCCCUGCCUACAACUAAUAGUUU